GUUUGUUAAUACCCGGGAAAACUAUUUGGUGACGAUACUUGUUACAGCCUUUUUUUCCAUUGCCAAUCCAUCACAAAAAAAAAAUAAUUUUUUCGACAACCAUGAAAACCCAAAAAAAACAGACACGGGAUACACACUGAUUAGCGUUUCAGAUUCAUCACAAUUCACAUUAGGCCAAGUUUCAUUGCCAAAAAAAUAAUUUUUUCCAUUGCCAAUCCAUCACAAAAAAAAUAAUUUUUUCUGCUCCUCUCUCUCUCUCUCUCUCUCUGGCGAUUCAAGAACACGAUUUCACAAGAUCUAUGAAGUUUGAACAGAUCGAUGAAGAUUCGGACCUCCCAGAUUCGAUUUCCGGCUUUUAUUGGCGUUUUGCAACAUUCGUCAAAGGUCAUGGUUUAAAGACUAGGUAACGGUUUGAGAAGAGUUCAAGAUCGAGCUAUUGUUUUGUAGUAUGAAGGGGUAUGCAUCUUCCGUCAUAAAUUCUUUCAGGAUCUAUUUGGUAAGCCUUUCUUUCAGAUGGGACAGAAAGGCAUCGACUCCUAUCAUAGCUCUUUCCUUGGAUCGGUUGUUUGCAGGAGAAAGUGAGGAGAAAGUUGUGGUUGUCAAAGGCGAAGUAGAAGAAUAUAAAGAGAAUGUGAGGGCGGUUGUCAAAGGAGGUGGUAUAGUGUUUUGUAGAAAUUAGGCUGCUGGUUUUGGUUUUCAGUUAGAAGCGGUUGAUUAGUAUAGACAUGUUGAGAAGAUACUAUCUGGAGAUGGAUCUGGAAGGUUGCAGGAUCGAGUGAAGGAAACGCUAAAGGAGUUUAUGUGGGCUACACAGAUGAUACUUUUGUGCCCGGCCAAGAAUUUCAGGUGCUCCUACUAACAACAAAGUCACUGCGGUCCUUGAAAAGGCAAGCUCAACCCGCCAGUUAGGACAGAGUCGUGGCAGAGAAGAUAGGUUUUAUAAUCCGGAAAAAGCGAGAAGAAACCAUCAAAAUCAGGAUCAACUCCGAUGAGCACAAAGUGAUGCCACUCCAAACCAAAAUCUAUGACGUUGCCAGGCCCUGGGGAGGCUGAGAACCGAGUUGUGAAGUCAUUUAAAGAGGCAUUAGCAAAACACAAAUUGGAUCGACGCACUUUAGGUCUUUCAAAAUGUCUGAAGGAGAAAGAAUUGGUGGCACUUGCGGCCAACCAGGACCUUUCUUUUGUGUAUAAUUUAAAACCCAAGCACCACCAAAGGAGACUAUGAAUUGUAUAGGUAACUAGUUAAUUGCCCUGCCCGCGUUGCGAGGCGUUAAAUCGAAUAUUUCUUAGUUUCAUAACAUGUACACAUGUAUUUUAGUUACUUGUAUAUACUAUUUAUAAC
rnacentral:lncRNA from 1 species